rnacentral:rRNA from 1 species
CUAACUGGAGGACCGAACCGACUAAUGUUGAAAAAUUAGCGGAUGACUUGUGGCUGGGGGUGAAAGGCCAAUCAAACCGGGAGAUAGCUGGUUCUCCCCGAAAGCUAUUUAGGUAGCGCCUCGUGAAUUCAUCUUCGGGGGUAGAGCACUGUUUCGGCUAGGGGGUCAUCCCGACUUACCAACCCGAUGCAAACUACGAAUACCGAAGAAUGUUAUCACGGGAGACACACGGCGGGUGCUAACGUCCGUCGUGAAGAGGGAAACAACCCAGACCGCCAGCUAAGGUCCCAAAGUCAUGGUUAAGUGGGAAACGAUGUGGGAAGGCACAGACAGCCAGGAUGUUGGCUUAGAAGCAGCCAUCAUUUAAAGAAAGCGUAAUAGCUCACUGGUCGAGUCGGCCUGCGCGGAAGAUGUAACGGGGCUAAACCAUGCACCGAAGCUGCGGCAGCGACACUAUGUGUUGUUGGGUAGGGGAGCGUUCUGUAAGCCUGCGAAGGUGUGCUGUGAGGCAUGCUGGAGGUAUCAGAAGUGCGAAUGCUGACAUAAGUAACGAUAAAGCGGGUGAAAAGCCCGCUCGCCGGAAGACCAAGGGUUCCUGUCCAACGUUAAUCGGGGCAGGGUGAGUCGACCCCUAAGGC